GUUCUUGUAGUUGAAGAUACAACGAUGGUUUUUCAGGCCAUAGGUCUUGGAGAGAGGCCAAGCAGGAAUU
rnacentral:tRNA from 2 species